rnacentral:rRNA from 1 species
UAGGCUUGAAAAGCAAGUGACAGGGUGUGAAAGCACCUUUCCCUUCGGGGCACUUGUACAGGUGCUGCAUGGCUGUCGUCAGCUCGUGCCGUGAGGUGUUGGGUUAAGUCCCGCAACGAGCGCAACCCUUACUAUUAGUUGCCAUCAGGUUAAGCUGGGCACUCUAAUAGGACUGCCUACGCAAGUAGUGAGGAAGGUGGGGAUGACGUCAAGUCCGCAUGGCCCUUACGCCUAGGGCCACACACGUGCUACAAUGGAUACAACAGAGGGUAGCCAAGCCGCAAGGUGGAGCCAAUCCCAUAAAAGUAUCCUCAGUUCGGAUUGGAGUCUGCAACUCGACUCCAUGAAGUUGGAAUUGCUAGUAAUCGCGCAUCAGCACGGCGCGGUGAAUA